UGGGAAGGUGUUCUCCUCUUAGAUGAGCUAGUUUUUAGGUGUGCUGUCAACCUACUCCAGUAUCCUCUUUCCAAUUUCGAUUCAGAGGCAUUCAGAGUAAAGAGCCCAGCAUUUGAUAAA